CCAUUGGAGUUUUUAAACUCCACAAACAAGGUUAAAGGAUUGACA
rfam:Gossypium arboreum cultivar AKA8401 contig_47673_1, whole genome shotgun sequence.